rnacentral:lncRNA from 1 species
CUUCACUUUGAUUACAGAUACUUGUUCCGCGUGGCGCUACUGCAAGACCGGCUGGCGGCCGCCUCGCGCAAACAGCCCAUAGAGGAGCCCACAGAGGACCCCGUACUGGCGCACUUACCAUUGCAGACCAUAGAGCAGAGCCCCAAAAAAGUUCCCUCUACCAUUACAGAGAAAACCUUUGAAAGUUCAGAACUCGAAGACAAAGAUGAUGCUGUAACCUGGGAAGACGAGGAUUUUGCAAAUGACGUAGAGCUGACCGAAGAACAACAAAUUCUACUCCUAGAAGAAUAUGAGAAGGAGAUUGCUUCCAAAAAA